rnacentral:rRNA from 1 species
GAUGAACGCUAGCGGCAGGCUUAACACAUGCAAGUCGAGGGGUAUAGUUCUUCGGAGCUAGAGACCGGCGCACGGGUGCGUAACGCGUAUGCAAUCUACCUUUUGCAGAGGGAUAGCCCAGAGAAAUUUGGAUUAAUACCUCAUAGUAUGUGAGAAUGGCAUCAUUUUCACAUUAAAGUCACAACGGCAAAAGAUGAGCAUGCGUCCCAUUAGCUUGUUGGUAAGGUAACGGCUUACCAAGGCAACGAUGGGUAGGGGUCCUGAGAGGGAGAUCCCCCACACGGGUACUGAGACACGGACCAGACUCCUACGGGAGGCAGCAGUGAGGAAUAUUGGACAAUGGGCGCAAGCUUGAUCCAGCCAUGCCGCGUGCAGGAUGACGGUCCUAUGGAUUGUAAACUGCUUUUGUACAGGAAGAAACACUGGUUCGUGAACCAGCUUGACGGUACUGUAAGAAUAAGGAUCGGCUAACUCUGUGCCAGCCGCCGCAGUAAAAC